rnacentral:lncRNA from 1 species
CAUUAUCUUUACUGUAGUCUGAUUUUUUUUUCUGUUUUGCUGUUUUUGAAUCUGUCCAGCAUCAAAUCUUCACUGGACCUCUUACUUUUACCUUCUUAGAGUCUUAUUCAAUUUUGUUGGCUAUCUAGAAUUGAUAAAAGCUGUUGUCAAUUCAAUUUGAUUCAUAAGUUGAAAUUUGGUUGGUGAAGUGGCUUAAAUUUUGAUGUUAAGAGCAACUCACAUGGUGAAAAAUUGAAUUUUGUGUUUCUAGCCUUUGCUAACAGAUCAAACAAGUCAUUUUUAGCACAACAAAGUUGCUCGAAUGGUAAAAUUGAAGGUCUAAACUGGUUUGUGAAAUUUGGCCAUUCAACACCAACAAUUUUCAAUGUUUUUUUUGUUCUGAUAUAGUUACAGACAUGUAUAAUUCGGUGUUGUUAUCUUGUUGCAUCAUCAUUCAUCUUCAUAUAGUAGCAAAAGCUUGGUUCAAUUGAAUUUAAAAAGCAGUGCAUAUUUCGAAUGGAAUAAAAAAAAAUUGCACAGUAAAAAGCUGUUUGAACCAGUACUAAAUACGAAACACAAGUCUGAUGCACCAAGUUUCCAGCAGUUCACUUAGGCAUUUUCUCAAACACUUUUGCCUAUUUUACAUUUGAGUUGGAUUAUUUGUCUCUGCAACUUAUCUUUGUUUCUUGCUUUUCAAAUCUACUCUAGAACAUUUCCUAACAUCCUUUUGAGUGCUAC